GAAAGUACCAAAGCACUCGUGGGGCUAGGGGAGGCGGCCGCGCCGACUCGCUCCGUCCCGUUUACAACCCCCAGUUCUAAUUGUAUUGGGACGGGCAGAAUUGUGAGCUGUGAAAGCGAAAGAGGAGGCGCCCUUUUCCCCAGUCAGAGCUAUUGGCCUGGGAAUCGGGUUUCUUUCCUCUAACGUCGGGAAUGGUGUGACCGGCCUCGCUCCGGCUCUGGCUGCAGAGCUUGAACCACUUGGGGGCGUUCCGAGUCUGAGGAGCGCGCGGGACGAAAGUCGUGACGAGCUCGGUUCCCGAGCACCUCCAGGCUUGCUCGAACUGCCUUGUCCGGUAAAAGACGAGGCCUGCUCUGUGUGUAGAACCUGGGAAGUCCUAAAGACAGAGACAGAAACCCAGCUGCCACCCUCCAGAAACAACAGUCGCAUAAUUGGCGUGGUGCAGACCUACAGUUCCUACUGGUUGUUGGAAUUGAAUGUUCUAGAGUUGGAAGAUGUUCUAAAAAUAGGACACUUCGUCUAUGAGAAGGUAGGAUUAUCAAGGAAAGAUCCCGCACGAGGUGCCUCCUGAAGCAAGCUUUGAAGGAAAAUCAGGAAUUAGCUGGACAGACUUGUGAAACAGGGAUAACCCUGAAACUCCGAGAGGUGAACAUGUUGAUCAAGAUCCCAUGGAAUAGCAGCAGAACUCCUGCCAGCCUUUGAACUGAGGUCAGUGAUCUGUGCAGUGUCCCUGUUCUCCAAACUCAAAACUCCUCCCAUGUCUGCUCUGUUCCAGGGCCUCCUCCACCACAGAUGAAGCCCUGUGCCCUUCUGCCUUCCAAGCGUUUGCCCCAUAGACGAAUCGAGUGGGCCCUGAUGACAUCUACAGCAAGCUUUUGUCUUCACCCACUACCGCUUCAUGGUGACACUCCCUUCUCUAGUGGCAUCCACUCGCCUGGCUUGGUCUACACGCUGAGAGGAGAGAACAACGGCUUCAGCAGGAUGUUUCUGGGAAGUUUCAUUUCUGGACCUGUUUGCCCCUGAUCUAUUCCCCAUGGCCUCACAGGAGGUCCUGCCCUCUGCAACCCCCUCACCCACCCCAUGAUGGCUGGGUGUUGGGUUGGCUGUGUGCCCAGCAAGCUAUAGCCACUAGGUUUAGUCCUCAGCCAUGCAAAAAAAUUACUUUAAAUUAAAUAUUGUGUAAAUUACUACCACUGGAAUUGGUAAGUAAGAGGCUGGGGAGAAAAGUACGUAGAUGAGCGUUAAGAUCCCCAGGACUCAUAUAAAUGCUGGGCCAUUAUGGUGGUCUGCCUGGAAUCCAGCACUUGGGAGGCAGACCCAGAGCCCAGGGCAAGCUGACUAGCUAGAGUAGUCAAAUCAAGUGUGCUCCAGUUUCAGAGAGACACUGGACUUUAACCUCUAGCCUCUUUAUGUGGCAGUUUUCUCGGGAAUCGAAACAUUCUACCUGCAGAGACUCUUCUUAAGAUAGGAGGUAAAUAAUUCCAGGCAACUUCUAGAAGUCCUGGAAACUGACCAGAUUCACCAGGCUUUUUUCCCUUAAGACUAUGUAAAUGACUCCUGAGUGUUGCUCUCAGGCAAGCCAAGCUGCAAAGAGGAUUCUCAGACAAGGCCAGCUUCCUGGAAGAGGCUCAAACUAUCUGAGGCACUAGGAAAAGACACAUUCCAGCCUGUUGAGCUGCCUGCAGGCUGCGCAGUGUGCACCAGGUUUCCAGCUUUUGUGAGCUGUCACCCAUGCUAGAGUGGGUUUUGGUGAUGUAGAUGUCUUCAAGUGAUUGCUGUUCCUAUAAGUCAUAACCCCACCUCCAUACUUUCUGUAAAUAACCCCAGUGGAACUCAUUGGCUCACCAAGUUGUACUUUGGUGUAUCCAUACAUUGGUCUGUAUUCCCUUUCUAGAGUGAACAAGUGUGUGUGUUUGUCCAGGAAAAGUUUGUCACAUCAUACCUCUACAUAUGCAUGUGCACACACUUAAUACACAUACCAAAUACACACACACACACACACACACACACACGAAACAUAGUGUUUGUCAAUGGGAAACUGAUAAGAAGUCAGAGUGGAGAUGAAACACAAGGAGAAAUAGAGGUCACUCCACAGGGAGUUAGCCGAGCUUCAGGUUCCACUGGUGACCUGAGCUCUAGCACCUGCCUCCCGGAGGAAGGGAAAUGUUCAGAGCCCUGAUCCCUGGCUCCAAAACCCACCCCCUCCCUUUGUCCUUCCAGUUCAUGGCUCCUAUAAUCCUAUUACCACUGAUGACUUCUAUGUUGCCUCUGCUGCCAGGUUAGCUCCCCAACUCUUCCAUCAUUGGUGCAAUCCUUGCAAGGACAUUUUUAAGGACUGGAGAUUUAAGUAGGGUGAGAGGAGAAGCUGUCAGAGAGAGCUAUUUGAGCAGAGGUGUGACCUGUUUGGCCAGGAUUUCUCUGGCUGCUCUUUUCAAAAUACAGUCAACUACAGGACACACAAGUAGAAGCCAAAUGAAGUAAUUGCUCAGAAG